rnacentral:lncRNA from 1 species
UCGAUUUCAUCUUCCUCGUAGUAGAUCUACAUGCUCCGAGUUUGAUAAGUUAUUUUCGAUAACAAUUGUGUUGUCAUCGGAGAAGAUGAUUAGAAAUGUCGAUCUAGUCACAAAAAUGUGUCCACAACACUCGCUCAAUGUUUUUGAUCGCAGAGGCAGCCAACAUCAUUUGUCAUUGAGCAUGUUUCUAUAGCAACAACUUCAAAUGUUACUCUAUCAACAUUCUUUAUUCCUUUUAGUGCGAUAGUCUCUUUAAUUAUUUGCAAUGUUAUAUUGUUAGAUUAUAUUUCUCUAAAUAUUUGAUCAUUUGUAAUCCAAAGUCAUAUCGACAAA